ACGCGUCUUCAGGGCGGGGUGUAACUCCCCACCGGCGGUAGGUUUCGGUAACGAAACAAGCCCGCGAGCGCUCCCGGCACCCGCCGGGAGGUCAGCAGAUCCGGUCAGAGUCCGGAGCCGACGGUCAUAGUCCGGAUGAAAGAAGACGGCA
rnacentral:ncRNA from 1 species